AGGGACCACAAUACAAAAGGUGCCACAUGGGACAUCCUUGUCCAUAUGUUCCAUAAUGAUUGGAUUUGGAAAAGGAUUACUGUGAAAAAAAACUUUGGGGAUGCUCGUGUAUGCUGUGAGAAAGAGUCAUAUCUCCCUUGCUGCCAUAGAAGAUGUCAUCCUAAAGCAGAAAAUAUGGUGUUUCAACCUGGCAGCAGAGAGGGGAAGAAGCUCUAGGAGGAGUACCACUGUCGGCAUCCUUACCAAAGAUCAGCCCAUUGUUAACUUCGUCUUGUGAAAAAAGUGUAGGGUUUCUGCAUGUCUUGAAACAUGUUGUUAAAGGUGGAAUCCUUGAGAUAAUAAAUAAAACAUUUUUGAUAAUUUU